rnacentral:rRNA from 1 species
GAUGAACGCUAGCUACAGGCUUAACACAUGCAAGUCGAGGGGUAACGAGAGGAAAGCUUGCUUUCCUUGUCGACGACCGGCGCACGGGUGAGUAACGCGUAUCCAACCUGCCCCCAACUAAGGAAUAACCUUGCGAAAGUAAGACUAAUACCUUAUAAUUUCCUCAGAUGACAUCUGACGAGGAAUAAAGAUUUAUCGGCUGUGGAUGGGGAUGCGUCUGAUUAGCUUGUUGGCGGGGUAACGGCCCACCAAGGCAACGAUCAGUAGGGGUUCUGAGAGGAAGGUCCCCCACAUUGGAAAUGAGACACGGUCCAAACUCCUACGGGAGGCAGCAGUGAGGAAUAUUGGUCAAUGGGCGAAAGCCUGAACCAGCCAAGUAGCGUGCAGGAUGACGGCCCUAUGGGUUGUAAACUGCUUUUAUACAGGAAUAAAGUUAGCCACGUGUGGUUAUUUGUAGGUACUGUAUGAAUAAGGACCGGCUAAUUCCGUGCCAGCCGCCGCAGUAA